UCUCUAUCGGUUUCGACUCGGUUUAGGUCGAUCUCAUCGAUCUCCCAAUAGAAAUGUCAUACAAAAUCAACUAUUGCUAGAUUCAGAAAGCUUGGCAAGUUUCAGUAUGUGUUGUCAAUCUUGGGCUCACAUGGUGUUAAACGUAUGCAUGAUACAUAUUCUGGUGCAUCAAUAAUGUGGGCACGAGGUUUGCCUUUUGUGAAAUGAUGUGGAUUAUGCACUAGGUAUGAGGCCAGACAAAAAGAGCAUAUGUUAUCUGCUUUUAAAAUUUUAGUAGAGAGAGGUGGUAUUGUUUACGAA